rnacentral:rRNA from 1 species
CCUACGGGUGGCAGCAGUGAGGAAUAUUGGUCAAUGGACGAGAGUCUGAACCAGCCAAGUAGCAUGAAGGAUGACUGCUCUAUGGGUUGUAAACUUCUUUUUUAAAGGAAUAAAACGAGGUACGUGUGCCUUUUUGCAUGUACUUUAUGAAUAAGGAUCGGCUAACUCUGUGCCAGCAGCCGCGGUAAUACGGAGGAUCCGAGCGUUAUCCGGAUUUAUUGGGUUUAAAGGGAGCGUAGAUGGGUUGUUAAGUCAGUUGUGAAAGUUUGCGGCUCAACCGUAAAAUUGCAAUUGAUACUGGCAGUCUUGAGUACAGUUGAGGUAGGCGGAAUUCGUGGUGUAGCGGUGAAAUGCUUAGAGAUCACGAAGAACCCCGAUUGCGAAGGCAGCUUACUAAACUGUGACUGACAUUGAUGCUCGAAAGUGUGGGUAGCAAACAGGAUUAGAUACCCGUGUAGUC